rnacentral:rRNA from 1 species
GACGAACCGUGCGAACGUUAUUCGGAAUCACUGGGCUUAAAGGGCGCGUAGGCGGGUCCGUAAGUCAGGGGUGAAAUCCCACGGCCCAACCGUGGAAGUGCCUCUGAUACUGCGGGCCUCGAGGGGGAUAGGGGCGUGCGGAACUCAGGGUGGAGCGGUGAAAUGCGUAGAUAUCCUGAGGAACACCGGUGGCGAAAGCGGCGCGCUGGAUCCCUUCUGACGCUGAGGCGCGAAAGCGUGGGGAGCGAACAGG